UGUCAGCAAGAGCAAGUUUUGGACAAAGUUUUUUCUCUUGUUUUAUGUUGCGUGAAAGCUGGCGGAGCCAUUUGGUUGUUUAGUGUCAGUUUGAAGGUAACAUUCGUCAACACGCAAAUUUCGUUAAACUUGAUAAAUGAACAUAUGCUUAUAUUACGAUGUUCAAGCAAGUAUAUGUAUGAUAAAAGAUACAAUCUGAUGGGUAUACUGGUAAUGAUGCGUCAUUUAAAAGCUGAAGAGAUCUUUGACAAUUUUUACAAUAAAAACAAUAUUUAUAAAAUAAUUUUUUAUAUCUUUCAUUUUCAAAAAAUU